AGUUUAUCCCUCAAGGGAGCCAACACCCUCCCUAAUUCACAGCCAUCAACUCUACUGCUCUCUCUGGCAUAUGUGUUUUAAUAUUUAUAUUAAAGAAGUUUGGCUAUAUGGCAUUCAGGCACAGACAGACUAAAAUCAGAGAGAGAAACAGAAACAGAGAGAUAGAGAGAAAUAUAAGAAUUUAGUGAGUUCACAGGUAUUCCAGAGUCACAUCUUGAAGGGUGGAAAAACUGAGGAUGCUCUUAUCUUCUUGCUCCCUAGUGAAAACGAGGAGAGUAUCCAUCCACACAUCAAUAAAAUGGAUCAUCUAAUAAAUUUAUUUGUCUAUGUUCCUUUGCCUCAUGACAGUAAGAAAAAAAAAAACAGUAACAGGAAAUGCUAGAAGGGUUUAAAUAUGUAAAGGGCCUCAGUAAUGAAAGGAUACAUAAAGAUGGCUGGGUAUCUCCAGAGUAAAUAAGACUAGAAAGCUUUUGCAAGUUAUGACGGUCUGAAGCAGUCAUUUAAGGAACAUAAAGGAUGAGGGCUUCACAUGAUGUAGUAUAUUAAAGUUGGCAAGGGCAGAGAUCAACAAUCUCACAUAUUGGCUAAAAUGAAUCUCAAACCAAGUUUAUUUAGAGUGUCUGGAUAUAUUGCUUCUCAGUUCUUUGGCUAAGAUCAAGUGUAGAAUGUCUGGAUAUUGAAAUAUUAUAAGUAGUUAAAAGUGCCAGACUAGUUGAAAAGUGAUAUUUUGGACAUUAAGUAAUCAUACUUGGAGGCUAUUCUAAUGCGGUCAGAGGGAUUCACAGAAUAUUUUCUCCUUUGUCCUCUCCAGUCAAUGAGCUCUCAUCAGUUUGUAGGCCAUUGACCAGGUUAAUCAGUGUUCUGUACCUGUGGAACGUCACUCAUUGUUCAUGGAGCCAUGGUGACCCUACUCGAUGAAUUAAAAACAUUGUCAGUGUACAAUAAAGAGGCUCAACGCAGGCUUCACAGGAAGCCAUAAUUAGUCAAACAAGGCCUUUGUCUUACCCUCACAUAGAUGGACAACUGGUAGAAAAAGGCUAGAGGAGCCUAAGGGUCCUGUUAAGUCCACUUGACACCUGAGGAUCUGUUGAACACUACAGAAGUGCCACACCACCUUCAGUGGGAUCUGUGUGACAAGUUCCACAGACUGAGGUGGUUUACCUCAGAAGGGGGAGGGAGGCCUCCUGGAACCUGUUGUGGAACUCUUCGCUGAAGAAAAAAUAUUGAGCUGUAGUUCUCAUGGCAACCUAUCUGUUUUGGUUCCUCUUAUUCCUUUUCUUAUUUACAUGUUCCUGGUAGCCUAGGCCAAGACCUUAAGUGAGAAUAAUGGAUUAAGAAACCAUCUUUUGAGAUAGGGUCACUAACAUGACCUUAUGCCUGGGGAAACCAAUGGUUUACUUUUAAAAUCAUUUACAAAACUAUUAUGAUAGAUAAAAACUUUCCCAACAAUAAAAUUUCAUAUGGCUACAUGUGUGUUAUUGGAGGUGGCUUUUGGUAUGGUAAAGAAAGCCUUAAUUAGAAUUAAAAUAGUUUAAAUUUAUGUGUUGAAGAUUUAUUAAAAAAUCAGGUAUUAGAUGUUAAAUAAUAAUUGACCAUAUGGGGCUGGAAAGUUAGUUCAGUGGUUAAUAGCACCAUAAAGAUUUAUUAACCUGCUCUUGGAAAUAUGCCACUAGCCUUGAACGAUUGCCCACACUGAUUAUAUUCUUUUAGAAUUGUUAUAUUUUGAUGAUUUACAUUAACGAUGAUGUUACCUGUUCUGUUUGUGAUUGUUUCACUGGAUACAGUUUCUAAGAGAGAUUUUUUGUGCUUUACUGUGCCAAAUGAUUUUUGCUGAUAUUUGUGAUUGUUUCACUGGAUAUAGUUUCUAAGAGAUAUAAUGUUUGGUUUUUUUAACGUAUAAAAUCCCCUAUUUGAGAGCUUCAAAAUCCACUCAGACUCAGACUGCCCCUGCGUUUGUUUCUGUUUGUCACUGCUGAAUCCUUACCUAGCUUCAAGGACCCACAUUCCAGGGACCCUCAUACCCAACUUGGGUGGUCUGUGACACAGAAGAAAAAUUACCUUUUGGCACUUGCACGAUCUUUAGCAUUCACCAGGAAAGCUUAACCAAGCACUACAAGAACUGAUAACAACCAAAGGAAUCCUAGUCCACAGACAAUAAGUGUAAGUUUAUGGGAGAUGUUAAUGAGACAGAUAUAUCUUAUUAAUAUUUUUAUUUUGAUAAAAAUAUGUUGUCCAGAUGUAAGAUGUCAGAGUUUGGCUCACUCUAGUGCCUACCUACAGCCAAGGGAGACCAGCCAUGAAGGUUGAUUGUGGAAUCAUUUCUGGAGAAUAACCUUUGAGGUUGAAGGAAAAUGAGGAGUCUAAUGGAAGGGGCCUUUGUGAGCCUAUGAAGAAAGACUGAUGGACUUUGGACAUUUUAAUUCUUUCACAACACCAGUCAAGGACUGGCUUUCCUCUGUAGACCUGUCAUUUGGAAUUUUUAAAGAUGAUCUUUGGUUGGUUGCCUCAAUACCUUCCCCAAAUACAGCUGGAGGAAGC
rnacentral:lncRNA from 1 species